AGCAGCAGCCACGGUAAUGCGUAGGUGGCGAGCGUUGUCCGGAAUUAUUGGGCGUAAAGGGAGCGCAGGCGGACAUAUAAGUCCAUCUUAAAAGUGCGGGGCUCAACCCCGUGAGGGGAUGGAAACUGUAUGCCUUGAGUGCAGGAGAGGAAAGCGGAAUUCCCAGUGUAGCGGUGAAAUGCGUAGAUAUUGGGAGGAACACCAGUGGCGAAGGCGGCUUUCUGGACUGUAACUGACGCUGAGGCUCGAAAGCCAGGGGAGCGAACGGGAUUAGAUACCCCAGUAGUCCCUGUCUCUUAUAAA
rnacentral:rRNA from 1 species